UACGAGGGGGGCAAAUGUUGUUCGGAAUCACUGGGCGUAAAGGGAGCGUAGGCGGGUUUCUAAGUCAGGUGUUUAAUCCCGGGGCCCAACCCGGACAGGCACUUGAAACUGGGAAUCUUGAAUAGUGGAGAGGUCAGUGGAAUUGGGGUGUAGCGGUGGAAUGCGUAGAGAUCCCAAGAACACCAGUUGCGAAGGCGGCUGACUGGACACAUAUUGACGCUGAGGCUCGAAAGCAUGGGGAGCAAACGGG
rnacentral:rRNA from 1 species